GUCCCGCAACGAGCGCAACCCUUAUCCUUUGUUGCCAGCGGUCCGGCCGGGAACUCAAAGGAGACUGCCAGUGAUAAACUGGAGGAAGGUGGGGAUGACGUCAAGUCAUCAUGGCCCUUACGACCAGGGCUACACACGUGCUACAAUGGCGCAUACAAAGAGAAGCGACCUCGCGAGAGCAAGCGGACCUCAUAAAGUGCGUCGUAGUCCGGAUUGGAGUCUGCAACUCGACUCCAUGAAGUCGGAAUCGCUAGUAAUCGUGGAUCAGAAUGCCACGGUGAAUACGUUCCCGGGCCUUGUACACACCGCCCGUCACACCAUGGGAGUGGGUUGCAAAAGAAGUAGGUAGCUUAACCUUCGGGAGGGCGCUUACCACUUUGUGAUUCAUGACUGGGGUGAAGUCGUAACAAGGUAACCGUAGGGGAACCUGCGGUUGGAUCAC
rnacentral:rRNA from 2 species